rnacentral:rRNA from 1 species
GACGAACGCUGGCGGCGUGCUUAACACAUGCAAGUCGAACGGAAAGGCCCUGCUUGCAGGGUACUCGAGUGGCGAACGGGUGAGUAACACGUGGGUGAUCUGCCCUGCACUUCGGGAUAAGCCUGGGAAACUGGGUCUAAUACCGGAUAGGAGCCAUUUUUAGUGUGAUGGUUGGAAAGUUUUUUCGGUGUAGGAUGAGCUCGCGGCCUAUCAGCUUGUUGGUGGGGUAAUGGCCUACCAAGGCGGCGACGGGUAGCCGGCCUGAGAGGGUGGACGGCCACAUUGGGACUGAGAUACGGCCCAGACUCCUACGGGAGACAGCAGUGGGGAAUAUUGCACAAUGGGCGCAAGCCUGAUGCAGCGACGCCGCGUGGGGGAUGACGGCCUUCGGGUUGUAAACUCCUUUCGCUAGGGACGAAGCUUUUUGUGACGGUACCUAGAUAAGAAGCACCGGCUAACUACGUG